rnacentral:piRNA from 1 species
UACAGAUUGUAUUGGUCGAGGCUGAUUGA